rnacentral:lncRNA from 1 species
GAGCUUCCUGGCCACUUUGUUUGCUCAGUGGCUCACACCUGUAAUCCCAGCACUUUGGGAGGCCGAGGCGGGCAGAUCACCUGAGGUCAGCAGUUCGAGAUCAGCCUGGCCAACAUGGUAAUACCCCUCAACUGCAUCCAGCUGAACCAAGCCUGGACACAAAAUAUGCACAUACACACAUGCACAAAUCUCUACAUUACCUCAGUUCAUCUCAUGUGCUAUGAGCUAUACCCAUCUCAUCUAAUGUCACAGCUUUCUGUCUGAUUUAAAGUAAACCUCUUCCACCAUUGCAUAAGUUGCAAUUCUUCUGUUCCCCACUUCCACAAUCAAACUUCAGGUCCUUUUCAAGGUAAAAUGACAUAUUUAGUAUAAUAUUUAUGUAC